AGAGUUUGAUCAUGGCUCAGGAUGAACGCUAGNUACAGGCUUAACACAUGCAAGUCAGGGGAAACGACAUCGAAAGCUUGCUUUUGAUGGGCGUCGACCGGCGCACGGGUGAGUAACGCGUAUCCAACCUGCCCACCACUUGGGGAUAACCUUGCGAAAGUAAGACUAAUACCCCAAUGAUAUCUCUAGAAGACAUCUGAAAGAGAUUAAAGAUUUAUCGGUGAUGGAUGGGGAUGCGUCUGAUUAGCUUGUUGGCGGGGUAACGGCCCACCAAGGCAACGAUCAGUAGGGGUUCUGAGAGGAAGGUCCCCCACAUUGGAACUGAGACACGGUCCAAACUCCUACGGGAGGCAGCA
rnacentral:rRNA from 1 species